rnacentral:lncRNA from 1 species
AGGACGGUAUGAGUACUGAUUGUUAGCAGCGCAUUACUAGAAAGUAAUAGGGUGUAGAUGAAUUGCACUUUUUGAGUUGCUGAACAAAGCAGAUAAGCAAGGGCAAUCAGUAAGUUCUCCAUAUGCAUGAAGCACAUCAGCUGCCAUCCUUGAAUUGCUUGGUAAAACAGACAUGGUAACAAAAUAAUUUUUUAGUAUCAAGCACAUUAAGCUUGAUUUUAUAACACUGCUUAUCCUGUAAGAUAUUUUCAAAUUAGUUAAUCAAAUGCCAGCAUGUCAUUUUAAGUUUAUGCACCGAUGUGUCAGUAUAAAUUACUUAUGAAUGGAACCUAAUUUAAAAU